AGCAUAUUAGAGCAAACAUAGCAAAAGAUACAUCUUAAAAACAACACACAAAAUAGAUUAUUAUGCAAGCAAAAGUAAACCCAUUUGUGUUUUAUUCUGAUUAAAUAGUAAAACAAGAAUAAAUGCAUUUUAAUUUCCUAUCAGAAUCCACAUUUUAAGUGGUUACAUAAAGAUGUAGUAGAAUUUAAUACUUUCUUAGAAAUGGAUUUAUAAAAAAAAUUCCUCUGAUACUGUACAUGAGAUAAAAAUAAGUAAUAUUUUUCCAACAAGUGGAAUAGUGAGAUAGUGAUUAAGAGACUGUUUUCAAACCAAAGAUAGUCGUAUUGACCAUUCUGGGUGUCAUUGAGGCAGAACUAUCACAGCCUGAACUGCGAGAGGAAUUUUAGAAUCUAAGAUUCCAGAAACCUUAAAGAGACACCAGUUUGAUGUUAAAUGUUGAAAUUAUGUGGACUGUGUUUUUAUCUGAAAGCCUACCUCUUAUUUAUUA
rnacentral:lncRNA from 1 species